AAUGCAGAUUACUGCUUCUGAUCAUGGCAGUGUAGACCCAAAGGGGGGAAGCCAUUGUUGCAAUCCUCACCAGCUGAGUGGCUUCCAGGAGACUGCAAGGGCAAGGGCCUGGGGUUUUUUCUUCCUUAUUUGUCUAUGCACAGGAGGCCAUGGGGACAAUGGCUGCCUUUAGGAAGGACAGGAUGACACAGGCAUCUCUUCCUAGUUACAGUUAUAGAAUUUUGGCUAGGAAAGGGGCCCUGAAGGUCCUAGCCCCAUUUCUCAUUGCAGAGGUGAAGUAAUGAGGUUCUAAGAUAGACCUGCAGAGAUGAAGAAUUAAGUUCUGUGCUGGGCUAUAAAACACCAGGAGCAGCAAGGCCCAAGUUCUGACCUCAAAUCUAACUAUCCUUUCUUUUCCUAAGGCCACCUGGUCACCAUCACUGCUCUGGUCCAUGCUGAAGCAUCCUUUUCAGAUGAAGAAUAGACCAGCAAUCUGAAUCUGGUUCCAGAAAUCCACUUGUCCUGGAUUCAAGAGAAGGGAUCAAGGAAGUAAAAGGAGACAUAGAAGAACGGGAAGAGGAAAUGCACCCUUGCGCCUGUGUCUGCGUUGCAGACUCCUGUACCGAUACCUGGGAAGGCCGUGAUGUGCAGAUCUCAGCCUGGGCCUCCGAGGCGCUGGAGCUCGCCCAGUGUCGGGAAGCUUGAAUCAGACACGAGGCCACACACAGGACAGGGCCCAGCUCCCUGCUUGUCCUCUCCAAGUCAGCUAAUGUAGCUCCAGUUAUUUAUUUUGGGAAUUGUGUGUAUUUAGAAUUAUCUUUAGAGAUAUUUUAUAGUCAACGUUGAAGUUUGUUACAUUAAACAAUAUUUAACUCUUCUA